rnacentral:rRNA from 1 species
CGUUUGAGGGGAACCUGCGGAGGGAUCAUUACACAACAAAAAUAUGAGGGUGUGGUUUGCUGGCAACAGCGUCCGCCCCAAGUAUUUUUCACCCAUGUCUUUUGCGCACUUUUUGUUUCCUGGGCGAGUUCGCUCGCCACCAGGACCCAACCAUAAACCUUUUUUUAUGCAGUUGCAAUCAGCGUCAGUAUAAUAAUUCAAUUUAUUAAAACUUUCAACAACGGAUCUCUUGGUUCUGGCAUCGAUGAAGAACGCAGCGAAAUGCGAUACGUAGUGUGAAUUGCAGAAUUCAGUGAAUCAUCGAAUCUUUGAACGCACAUUGCGCCCUUUGGUAUUCCAAAGGGCAUGCCUGUUCGAGCGUCAUUUGUACCCUCAAGCUUUGCUUGGUGUUGGGCGUCUUUUUGUCUCUCCCCUUGUUGGGGGAGACUCGCCUUAAAACGAUUGGCAGCCGACCUACUGGUUUUCGGAGCGCAGCACAAAUUUGCGCCUUCCAAUCCACGGGGCGGCAUCCAGCAAGCCUUUGUUUUCUAUAACAAAUCCACAUUUUGACCUCGGAUCAGGUAGGGAUACCCGCUGAACUUAAGCAUAUCAAAUA